rnacentral:rRNA from 1 species
AUGGACCAUUCCAUCCCUUAUUCCCGUGGCUAUGCAUCAGAUUCGGAUGACGAAGGUCCCGAUGAACAAGUUAAUGAGGAGGGGCUCAUGGUGAUGGAGGCCGAAGCUUUUGAGAAGGUAUUCAGUCAUGAUCAUCGGACUACAUUGUUCAAGGAUGUUAGUCUCGCGGAUGAAGCCAUGGUAGAUGGUGGCCAAGGUAUAUCUCUUAGGGUUAGGCCAAGAUCUCACUGUGAUUUGGAUGAUGGCAAGAACGGGAUUGCUAAAGGGUCUAAGUUUGAUACCUUCUAG